GACAUGCCGCUGACCGGUGCAGAGAUGCAUCUUUAUCCUUCGGGGUACAGCGGACACAGGUUGGUGCAUGGUUGUCGUCAGCUCGUGUCGUGAGAUGUUGGGUUAAGUCCCGCAACGAGCGCAACCCUUGUCUUUAGUUGCCAUCAUUAAGUUGGGCACUCUAAAGAGACUGCCGAUGACAAAUCGGAGGAAGGUGGGGAUGACGUCAAAUCAUCAUGCCCUUUAUGUCCUGGGCUACACACGUGCUACAAUGGUCGGUACAACGAGAAGCAAGUCAGCGAUGGCAAGCAAAUCUCUAAAAGCCGAUCCCAGUUCGGAUUGCAGGCUGCAACUCGCCUGCAUGAAGUCGGAGUUGCUAGUAAUCGCGGAUCAGAAUGCCGCGGUGAAUGCGUUCCCGGGUCUU
rnacentral:rRNA from 2 species